GGGCCCGCACAAGCGGUGGAGCAUGUGGUUUAAUUCGAUGCAACGCGAAGAACCUUACCAGGGCUUGACAUACUACAGAUUCUUUUGAGAAAGAGAAGUGCCUUCGGGAAUGUAGAUACAGGUGGUGCAUGGCUGUCGUCAGCUCGUGUCGUGAGAUGUUGGUUAAGUCCCGCAACGAGCGCAACCCUUAUUUUAGUUGCCUUUUAUGGAACUCUAAAAGACUGCCGGUUAUAAACCGGAGGAAGGUGGGGAUGACGUCAAAUCAUCACGGCCCUUACGUCCUGGGCUACACACGUGCUACAAUGGCCGGUACAGAGAGCAGCCACUACGCGAGUAGGCGCG
rnacentral:rRNA from 1 species